UCCAUCGUAGCUUAAUUGGUAAAGAAUCUGCCUGUAGUGCAGGAGAUCCAGGUUCAAUUCCUGGGUUGGGA
rnacentral:tRNA from 1 species